UGGUUUUUUAUUUAUUCAAUAAAGCCACUGGAAGAAGAAAUAUUCGUAAUGAAGUUUCAAGCAACAAGGAAUUAGAGGAAAGAAUCACAUUGUCAAGAUUCUACGAAGUUCAAGAGUUAGCAUCACAAGUUGAAGACCAAAGAUGAAGACAAGGAUUGAAGACUGAAGACGUUUCUAUGGAUGUUGUGAGAGUGGUGCUAACUGCACGCCAAACAGAUAACGAGGUGCAAUUGAGUCGUUUGAAGCAAAAGAAGGAGAAAUUAGCCAUUUGGAGCGAAAAAGGCGAAAAGGUCAAUUCACAUGCAAGUUAUACUUGGAGCCGGCUAGGUUACGCAAGAGCGAAGAAUGAACUGUCGGUUCUCCACAACCGACAGUUGAGCAAGGAAGAGAAUAGGCAGUCAGUUGUCUGAAACUGACAAGCCAUAUAAGAAAUGGGUAGCCCUUAUCGAAGUUACUGGUGGAAAAUAUCCGGCCAAAUCAUUUCUACACCUUAAAACCAAGAUAAAUCAAUUCUCAAUCAUUUGUGUCUGAAAGAGAUGAAGAAAGAGAGUGAAUGGCUGCUGUGUCUGAGAGUUAGAAAAUUCAGAGAUGAGAGUGGAGAUCGAUCAGGGUUCAAUGGAAGAAUUCGUGAAGAUUCAGAUGGAGAAAUUUAGGGUUCGAAUGAGUUGAAAUGAAGGGGGUUUUGAAUUGAUAGUUGCAGCUGAUGAAGAUGAUGGUUUUGUGAUCGAUUCAUGAAGUUUCUGGAUAUGGCAGAGGUUCAAUUAGGGUUGGAUGGUCGAUUGAGAGCUAUCGAGGUGGUUUCUGCUGAGUAAUUUUUAUCGGAAGUGAAGAAUAGUUGAGAUGACAUUGAGUUAGGGUUUGCUGUUGUUGGUGGUCAAUCUAAGGAGAGGAAAUGAUUUCGAUUGUUGGAUAUACAAAGAUGGGUUUGUGUUGGUGUUCUUGCAGAUGAAGAUUACAAGGGUUGCUGUUCAUUUCAUGGAUGGAGAAGAUGUUGGUGAUGGAUUGCAGGACCUGAGAUGAUAUGGGUUUGGUUCUGUGUUGCUGCGGGUAUUGAGGUUGUUGUGAGGCUGCUUCCAGGAUCAAAGAUGAGCUGAACUAGUGUUCUAGCUCGUGGUGGUUCUAUUGUGAUGGAGUUGGUGUGCAGCUGAGAAGAAAUGGCUCAACUACUGAGCUGUUAAUGGAAGUGGAUGUUGAUGUUGUUGCAGCUAGGAAUGCAGUUGAAGCUGCAGAGAUAGUGGACUGGGGUUGUGCAGGCAUGAAGUGAAGUUGAUGCUAUUGAAGUGACAAGGAGUUAUAGGCCAGCGCAGAUGCAGUUAGGGACAGUGCUUGUGGAGAAUGGCUAGUGGUACUGUGUUAAUGGGUUUGAUUGUGGCAAUGAGUUGAGGAAGUGCCAGAGAUGGCUGUGGGAAUUAGUGGUGCUAGCUCAGAAUAGGCGGUAGAAGGCAAUGGCUAGGUGAAAAGGUGUUGUGCACUUAUGCUGGUGAUCAUUGUUGCUGAUGAACUGCACUACAGCUGUAAAAUUGGUUAAUGGUGCAGCUGCGGUGGCAAAGAUGAUGAAGCAAUGAAGUAAAGCUGGUAAUGAAGCUGCAAACUGGUGGAAGUAGGAGUUGCAGCUGCAUAAAUUGAUAUGAAGAGGUUAUCGCGCUGUAAUACAAGGAGAGAAUGGAGUUAGAAGUUACGACAAGAGAAGUUAAUGUUGCUAUUUGAUAUUGCAGCUGUGGGUAUGUGCAGUGGUAGUGAAUCUGAAGACAUGGAAUUGAUGGUGUCAGGUGGUGGUAAUGGUCCUGAGACAGAACCGAUGGUGCAGCUGCGACUAAGAGCUGGUAAUGCUGUUCUGGUGAGAGUUUGAGCUGAGCAAGAGUUGCAGAUAGAGCUACAGGUGCAGUGAAGCUAUGGUUGAGUACAAUGGGUUUAGAGCAGAGCUGAAGGCACUGGUGGUGCACAAAAAGAUAAGCUACUGCCGAUGGCGAGAACAUGGAAUUGGACCAAGUGAAGCUGUUGCUGUGAAUAUAUCUUGAGACAUGGUACUGAACAGGAGGUGCUGUUACUUUCAGUAAUGCAAUGGCUAGGCCUGAAUGGAUGAUUAAGAUGAAUAAAUGAAUGUUUAGGUUGUGCAGGGAGGAAGAAACUGACCAGAAAUUGGUCUGAGCAUUGUCUGAAAACAAAGGAGAUUCUGCCGGAUUUUCUACUAAGGCGAGUUGACUCGGUGAUCCGAUUUGACUCAGAUGGAUUUGGACUUGUUUUUACUGGGCUUCACUCAUGGACCGUAUGGAAGCAGAGUUGGUAGAGAUUUGGAACAAGUCAGUAUAUAAAAAGCUUAUUCACACAACAGUGAAAAAAAAAUCUUUUACUUCUACUUGUGUUCUAGGGUUUUAGACAUGGAAACUUUUAUUUUUCUUCUUGUUAUGAACCCUAUUAACAUGAGUAGUUAAUCUUAUUUUUGGUUAUGGAUAAAGUUGAUUUCA